UACGUAGGCAGCGAGCGUUGUUCGGAGUUACUGGGCGUAAAGGGUGUGUAGGCGGUUGUUUAAGUUUGGUGUGAAAUCUCCCGGCUCAACCGGGAGGGUGCGCCGAAUACUGAAUGACUUGGAGUGCGGGAGAGGAAAGUGGAAUUCCUGGUGUAGCGGUGAAAUGCGUAGAUAUCAGGAGGAACACCGGUGGCGAAGGCGGCAUCCUGGACCAUGACUGACGCUGAGGAGCGAAAGCCAGGGGAGCAAACGGG
rnacentral:rRNA from 1 species